UACUACAUACAACUAACUUAUAAGACACAGAAGCGGCACGAGUGCGACCGCUCGGGUUACGAAUAGGAGGUUGCGUUGCAGUUGGUACGUUACUAGUAGUACUACAUCCAGCAUUUGUCAACCUCGCUUCGUACGACAUGCUAGCAGCCUGCAGCUGUCCGUUCGCGUAAGCUUCCAAGCGAGUGCAUGCUGAAUUCGAUCGGCUGCUUGUCAACGGGUAUCCACUUCCACCCACUCGCAAUCUGGUUGAUAUCUUGAGAAGAUGAGUCAAGAUUCAUAUGCGUGAAUUAGUUACUUGCUAUGCCUUACAUUACCAGCUACUAGUGGAUCGAUCGUAUGUCGUGUUGCGUGUUCACGGGUUUUCUGCACUUGUAAUUCGGGCUGAUCACUGGGAUGCAAGAUCCAGUCUUAGUGAAGAUGCGGCCAUGCGAGGAGCAGAUCAGUACAUCUGCUGCCGACGAAUCCGAUUGACCCAUGUUGCUUGAACCUGUCGGUUACACGACGUGAGACUGCUGAUUCCUGGUGCAGCGAGGGCGAUUGCGAAUGAGGGCAAAAACAAAAGGGUGAACCAUGACUGUGUGUUAUGUAGGGAGAAGUCCGAUCUCUGGAAAGGAUACCCUGCGGGUUCCCAUGUUCCAGUAAACCCCAAGGUUGUCAAGAAAACGACAAGGACAGUUCUUAGCCGAGAUGCUUGUAGUGGCCUCGCCAGCAUUGGUGACCAAAUCAUGAUAUAUCGAUCUCUUAGGUCGAUGUCCUAGUCACAUGUUAACAAGCGCAUGACUGCCACUCUGUCGGAAACCAGUACCAAUUGGGCGGUUCGCAAUCUAAAUUAUCUAGGUAAUUGACUGCUCAUGCAACUGUUGUGGACUGACACUAAGAGUGCGGGGCGGGUUGUGAUCUUAACAUCCCUGAUCCUGGUCGUUGCUAGUCCCGGGAGGGUACCUCUGCCUUCUCUCCGAGUCAGAGAAAUCCCGUUUCGUUUAUUCCUACAGAGUGCAAGAAGGGGGCACGCAAACAAUUGCUAGAAAUCUUGUCCGAGGAGGGAAAAGGGAAGGGAGAACCCGACUGAGCGACUGCAUCUGCAUGUCUGCAUGUCGAUCCUUUGAAUUUUAUAUCUUGGCCGUUAAAUAUAAUUUAGAAUACUAGACAGGAAGGUUACCUAGGGAAGUAUUACUACAUAUCUAUGUAGUACCGAUCUAAUAUCUCAGUCGGGACACGCUAUUGUACUCAUAUUUACACUGGAGAUAAAGUUCUUCUGAGCUAAAUUGUCCAAAAAAAAAAAAAAAAAGGCGGCAGCAGCAUGGCUAAUGUAAAAAAAAGUAUCAAAAAGUUGGGAAAAAUCCAAGGGGCUAACUGGGAAUCGAACCCAGGACCACUCCCACCCUAAGGGAGUAUCGUACCACUAGACCAUCAGCCCACGAGGGUAGAGAUGUGCAUUUUAGAUACUGUGACCCCAUUUCCUCCUCCCAAUAAUUAUUUGGGAGGAAAGACUUCCCUGAGUCGACUAAAAGACAUCCUGAAAGCCCUGGUUGAUCAUUCCGUGAUUACCCAUCUAAAUUCCUCCAGGCUCGCAAGCUAUGACCCUGACAUUUCAGGAUUUGCGAUUGACUUAGUUUGGGACGACCCGGCGCUUCCCUGAAGUUCCCUCGGUCAAGUUACGCUUGCCAGCCACAUGCCACAUGGCGUUGAAACGUUGUUGCAACUUAGCUUUCCCUUUUGUUUUUGUUGCUCUGCACAUGGUUCAAUGCCGGAUUUAUCUCGGGGCCAGCAACCACGGGGAUACAGGCGUCAAGGUCAAGCCUCCAGGGAAAAAAAAAAGGCAUUGCGCGAUUUAACUUCCCGUUGUUAUAUGCACAAUCUCUGACCAGCGGACAAAGCGGGCAGUUCCAUCUACCUGAAUGCAUGGAGUACAGUCGCUACACCCAGGCGGCUGUUGAUGAUGAUACUUGGCCGACACGACAGCCUGUCAUGCUAAAUCGAAUCGAAGAAAAGUCAGGACUGCUGACUGGCUGGCCAUUACAUCAUUUCCAUGGUCCACACCCCUAGUCCUCCUUACUACUAUGUAUGGAGUACUAUGUACAUCUGUCUCAACACGAUACGUAGUACUCGCACUACGCCAGAUAUGGCACUCCGUACCGUAACUAGUCAAUAGUUAGUCUAACUACUCCGUACAUAGUUAACAAGAUCUUACAGAAGUAAUUAAUUUCUCACCGUGACAAUCGAGGCUGGCACUAGGCACGUAACGUCUGUGAGAUUGUUCGGACUACGAGAUCAACACUACGGUAUUUGAGAACAGUUAAAGUGUUAUGUUAUAAGUUAUAAGGGUUAAUAUCC
rnacentral:tRNA from 1 species